rnacentral:rRNA from 1 species
AAGGACUGCCGGUGUCAAACCGGAGGAAGUGGGAUGACGUCAAGUCCUCAUGGCCCUUAUGACCAGGGCUACACACGUGCUACAAUGGCCGGUACAAAGAGUUGCGAUACCGCGAGGUGGAGCUAAUCUCAUAAAGCCGGUCUCAGUUCGGAUUGGAGUCUGCAACUCGACUCCAUGAAGUUGGAAUCGCUAGUAAUCGCGGAUCAGCAUGCCGCGGUGAAUACGUUCCCGGGCCUU